AAAAAAUGUAGCAAAAUAGAGUACAAAAAUAAAAAUAAAAUAUAGGUAGUUAUAACAUAAUUAUGAUUUAUGGUCACGAACAUAACAAUUAUUGCUUAAAAAUAUCGGGAACUCAUUUCGUAUAAUACACUGGUAAAUAUUCCGUUUUAAGUAAUAUGUGUUAUGCUUGUAACAUUUCUAUAUUAUACAAUGACAUUAGGGACUUUUUGACGGGAACGCGAGGAGUGAAGUUGUGUGAUUUGUAUUAUUUUGUCUAUUUAAUGUUUCUUCAGAUUUAAAUGUGUAAUACGGGGGUUUAUUAACUGUUUAAUAUCUGUGAAAGUGCACAAAUGUGGGAAAAUGAAACAAAGCCGCUGGACGUAACUUCUCGGGAUCCUCCAAAAAGUGCACUGAAAAAAUCUCAGUAAAUGACCACCAUUUUUCUGAUAUUAUUUUUCAUCCAAUAUCAUCUCUUUUCAUUUCGUUUCAUCUCAGUUGAUUAAUGUCUCAAAUUAAUCAUCUUCAUUUCAUUUCAUUUCACUCCAUAUCAACAUUUUUCAUAAAAAUAAGAAUAAAAUUAAAAUAAGACAUGACUUAAAGAUUUUAGUUACCAAGUCAUAAAACCACUAAAAAAAAUACAAUGACAUUAUUCAUUUUGACAUUUUAUUAUGAUUGUAUUUUAUACUUCUAUAAUCACAAAUUUCGCCAAGACUACACUAUAAAAAAUAUUAACAAAGACAAAUAAUAUUUAAUAUAUUCUCAAUUUGACAACAGACGUCAAGAACAAAAGCUUGACAAUAAAUAGUAUGCAUGCGUGUGUGCGUCAAAUACAUGCAUCAUACAAACUUGAGUGGAUGUUGAAAUAACAGAGCUGUUCCAACUAAGUUCUGGUCUAAUUUGGGAAUGUGUUAUUAAAUAAACAAAUAAAUUACGCCCUAGCUAAUUCCAACCGUUAAAAUAAAACCAAUUACUUACGUAACUUCUGUGAAAUAUGGAAACACACCGAACAAGCAAUCUCUCUCUCUCUCCGUGUCUGAUGUUAAACUGUUAAAAUGGGAAGUUCUAAGUCGCAAUGGUAUCUUGUUGUUCAGAUCAGACUGCGUAAUUCUUUCCCAGCAGAUACUUAUAGCCAGAACACGGACGACCUUACUUGCUUUGCUGACAUCGUGUAAGUUCGGUCUUCUGGUCUCGAUGCACAUAAUAUUUAAAUGCUUAAUGCGUUUUAGAUACUGGCGAUGAAUACUUUUUAUGUCGUAGUAAGUGCGCGAAAACAAACAUUUUCAAUUUGCAUAACAUCAAGGAUAAAACCUCAAACUACAUUAUGUAUGUAUUCUCUAAAAAUCACGAUACGCCUUGGAAAGCUUAUCGCCGUAACGGGUCAUUGACCUAACUUUAAUACUAAAAGCGCAAGCAUAGAAAACUUUUACGAUGCAACUCAAUGCAUGCGUACUGUUAGAGGCUUAUGGUGCAGAGAGAAAACUUUGGAGCCUGAACCUUUAUGGAUUCAACGAAUGAAAACGUACAACAUUUUAUUGCAAUCGAUUUUUAGGGAUUAUUUGUUUACUAAUUUAUUAAUAUAUUAUUUUUGAUUAUUAUUCAUUGAAUCAAAAACAAUACAGCACGAUAUCAUUUACAAUUCUGUAGACGGAAAAAAAGUCCGAAACGUAUUUCCAACUAUCCUACACAAAUAAAUUGUAAGCCGAAACACUAAUAAAAGCUAAAAUUUAUGUUCCGUAAUAAAACAAACGCGCAAAAACUGAACAUUCGAGUCGAUUACCUUCGGACACGUGAAUAAUAAAAAAAAAGUUGUGAACUUGAUAAUGUAAAUCUACGAAUUAAAACUUUUUCCUCAUUACGAUUUUUCAA